rnacentral:rRNA from 1 species
GUCCACGCCCUAAACGAUGUCAACUAGGUGUUGGGUGGGUAAAACCAUUUAGUACCGGAGCUAACGCGUGAAGUUGACCGCCUGGGGAGUACGGCCGCAAGGUUAAAACUCAAAGGAAUUGACGGGGACCCGCACAAGCGGUGGAUGAUGUGGAUUAAUUCGAUGCAACGCGAAAAACCUUACCUACCCUUGACAUGUCCAGAAUCCCUGAGAGAUUGGGGAGUGCCUUCGGGAACUGGAACACAGGUGCUGCAUGGCU